UAUCCAUUACUAUUAUUUUUGUUAUUUUAGGUUUAACAUUACACAUAAUUAAUGAUUCAUAAGAUUCUGUAAAUAAUUGUAACGUAAUUAAUUAACAAAGCCCCCCAAAUUAGCUUAGUUGUAAACAGAGGAUUUUCCCUUGAUUUCAUCGGAGAAUAUGCAAAUUAAAACAACACCCAUUGAUCUCAUCUCCGUUCAAUGCCUUCAAUUCCGUCGCCACCGCCAAAUCCGGCGUCCGCCGUCAACUGUGGCAUCUCCGUCUUGUCUCUUAUCCUUCAGUUUCCUUGAAAUGCCGAUGCUCAUCUUCCUUUGCUCGUGCCUUUUCAGUUAUAUGAUCAGGUGUAAGAGCUCAGUUGGAAACUACUGAGCAAACAGUUUAUGUGGAACCUCCCGUUGUGGUUAUUACAGGAGCUUCUAGAGGAAUUGGGAGGGCUGUUGCUUUGGCUUUGGGAAAAUCUGGUUGUAAGGUCCUAGUGAAUUAUGCAAGAUCUUUAAAGGAGGAAGAAGUUUCCAAACAGGUCUUAUGGAAAAUACAUCAUACAUACUUGGAUGCCUUAAAAGAAUAGAUCAGUUAUACAUCUUCUGAAGUGAAGAGCAAGGUCUCCUAUAACUCCAGAAACUGAUUGAAUCAUGUGGUGGCCAAGCGAUUACUUUUGGUGGUGAUGUUUCAAAAGAAGAAGAUGUAGAAUCAAAUGAUGUAUACCGCAUAACGCCUGAUACUUUGUUGAUGAGAAUGAAGAAAUCUCAGUGGCAUAAGGGUAUUGAUUUGAAUCUUACUGGAGUAUUCCUCUGCACACAGGUCUAUACAGUUGUUGCGUUCUUAAUUCAACCAGAACCUGAGUCUUUUUCAAAGAAAACAUUUUUCCAAGAGAUCUUUUUCCUUGUUGCAAGGUGCUGCUAAAAUUAUGAUGAGAAAGAAAAAGGGGGAGAAUAUUCAACAUAUCAUCUGUUGUUGGUUUAGUUGGCAAUGCCCAACUAUAGUGCGGCAAAAGCAGGAGUGAUUAGGUUAACCAAAAGUGUCGAAAAGCAACAGGGUCUACCAUGCAUGGUUGCCCCCCGUCCUUUCUUUCUAUCUUUGGAGUGUAAACUACAAAGGAAUUAAUUCUUCUCAACAAGGAGAAGCUACUGACUUUUUAUGACGUUUGACAAUUUAUUUACAACAAUCUUUGUUUUCAUCAGGUUAAUGCUGUGGCCCCUUAAUUCAUUGCAUCAGAUAUGACUUCCAAGCAAAGUGAAGACAUUGAGAAGGAAAUUUUGGCAAGCAUCCCAUUAGGACGAUAUGGCCAACCAGAAGAAGUUGCUGGAUUCAGCCCUGCAGCCAGUUAUAUUACUAGACAGGUCGAUAAUGGAACGGCUAUGUAGAAACUUUCAGCAUUCCCAUGAGGUGGAUUGCACUGAAAAGGCUGAUCAGUUAUGUUGGUAGAGGAAAAUCAGCAGCCUAUAAUUUUGUAAUGAGCUAUUAGGUUUUCAUCAUUAGUUUUGUCCAGUUAACAUAGGAAUAUUGCCACUUAUUUCAGGGUAGAGAGGAAGAACCAGAACACCAACAAUUGGGGACAGAAAAGCCAACGCACCUUCUAGCAUCAA